GCGGACGAUACCCGAGGGGGAUGGAUGAUAACUGAGGGGGGGCGGACGAUAACUGAGGGGGAUGGAUGAUAACAGAGGGAGGGCGGAUGAUAACUGAGGGGGAUGGAUGAUAACUGAGGGGGAUGGAUGAUAACUGAGGGGGAUGGAUGAUAACAGAGGGGGAUGGAUGCUAACUGAGGGGGAUGCAUGAUAACUGAGGGGGAUGGAUGAUAACGAUAUUACAGGUUACUAUUCACUCUUUUACUCUCCAUCUCUCUGUUUCUGUCUUGGGCUUGAUGUUCACUUUCUCUCUCUCUGUAUUUCAAUCUCUCACUCACUCACUCACUCACUCACAUAUGUAUAUGUCAAGGCUGAAUAGAGACAAUGUGAAGCCUGCCCUGUACACAGACAGAUGUGUCUGGUCUGUCUCUCUCUUUAACUCUCACACACCAAGGCCCUGUCCUGUCCUGUCCUGUCCUGUAUUCUGGUUUGACCCAAAGUACUACCUCAGGGUUGCGUUCAUUAGGCACCAAAAAAACAAACAUUAACUGACUGAAUCAAGGAGGUACUCUCUGGACCUGGUUCAAUAAGAAACCCACGGUUUCAUUUCCAGUUGCAAAACAUUUUAAAAAAAAUUUUUUGGGGGGUUGCAUGCCUUAAUGAGCGUAACCCAGAUCUGUCUCUCAGUGGGCUGACCGGAGGUGGAGACGUGGCCUAGCUGGAUUGACACAGUUUUAUCACCUGUGGUCACUCUGACUGGCUUCAACAUCUACCCAGUCCACGUCACACAAGGCUUAGUGUGCGUAGUCGUUGGAGAAAAGCAUGAUGUGUAUUAAAAAGACCAGAAACCACGUGGUUAUACAGACUGCUGUGGAACUUCAGAAAGGUUGUCAGAUUAUGGAGUGGAUUUUUUCAAAGGAGUGAAUGGAUUAUGUCAAUAGGUCUGUACUAAGGAGUGAAUGGAUUAUGUCAAUAGGUCUGUACUAAGGAGUGAAUGGAUUAUGUCAAUAGGUCUGUACUAAGGAAUGAAUGGAUUAUGUCAAUAGGUCUGUACUAAGGAGUGAAUGGAUUAUGUCAAUAGGUCUGUACUAAGGAGUGAAUGGAUUAUGUCAAUAGGUCUGUACUAAGGAGUGAAUGGAUUAUGUCAAUAGGUCUGUACUAAGGAAUGAAUGGAUUAUGUCAAUAGGUCUGUACUAAGGAGUGUUUUAUUGCACAUUAUACUAGAUGUCUAGGGCCUAUUGAGCAAUGGCUUUAAUGUAUAGAUUUAAAUGAAUGGAUUGAAUGUGUAGCCACGGAGGCACUUAGGCAGCACUCUAUGAAACACAUGGCAUCAAUAAUAAAGUUCUCUGUUAACCUCCUCUUCUCAGCUAAUACUGUGAGACUGAAUGUCUCUGCUCCAUUCCCCGGCUCAGCCCCGUGCGUGUGCGUGUGCGUGUGUGUGUGUGUGUGUGUGUGUGUGUGUGUGUGUGUAUUACAAGCACAAAGCUCAAAUGGAGGAUGGCUUUCUUUGUGUGUUGUUCACACUAGGCCUGAUGCUGGGAAAAUGUUGCCAUUUUGAAGUUCACACUAGGCCUGAUGCUGGGAAAAUGCUGCCAUUUUGAAGUUCACACUAGGCCUGAUGCUGGGAAAAUGCUGCCAUUUUGGUUUGGUCUGAGUUUUUUGUCAGUGCUCAGUGGCUGGGUGUCGAUAGGGGUGUCGUGGCCUGUCCUCCCCACUCCAUAACAACCUUCCUGCCGCAGCAUCCCCCACACACACACACACACACAAUGACUGUAAUCAACCGCAUCAAACACAUCCUGUCACAGGGACGGUGUGUUUCAACGUGAAAGAGAGACGGUGUGUGUGUGGCUUUUUUUUUUUGCUUGUGCUCUUCUAACUAUUCUU
rnacentral:lncRNA from 1 species